rnacentral:rRNA from 1 species
AUACGUAGGUGACAAGCGUUAUCCGGAUUUACUGGGCGUAAAGGGCGUGUAGGCGGUCUUGCAAGUCAGAAGUGAAAUUCCUGAGCUCAACUCGGGCGCUGCUUCUGAAACUGCAGGACUUGAGUGCUGGAGGGGAUAGCGGAAUUCCUAGUGGAGCGGUAAAAUGCGCAGAUAUUAGGAAGAACACCGGUGGCGAAGGCGACUUUCUGGACGAAGACUGACGCUGAGGCGCGAAAGCAUGGGGAGCAAACAGGAUUAGAUACCCUGGUAGUCCACGCUGUAAACGAUGGGUACUAGGUGUAGGAGGUAUCGACCCCUUCUGUGCCGGAGUUAACGCAAUAAGUACCCCGCCUGGGGACUACGG